UCUAAUAUGGCAGAAUUAAUGCAAUGGAUUUAAAUCCCAUUUAUAAAGAUUUUUUCUUUUUUUAGAA
rnacentral:tRNA from 1 species